AUUGAACGCUGGCGGCAGGCUUAACACAUGCAAGUCGAGCGGGGGAAGGUAGCUUGCUACCGGACCUAGCGGCGGACGGGUGAGUAAUGCUUAGGAAUCUGCCUAUUAGUGGGGGACAACAUCUCGAAAGGGAUGCUAAUACCGCAUACGUCCUACGGGAGAAAGCAGGGGAUCUUCGGACCUUGCGCUAAUAGAUGAGCCUAAGUCGGAUUAGCUAGUUGGUGGGGUAAAGGCCUACCAAGGCGACGAUCUGUAGCGGGUCUGAGAGGAUGAGCCGCCACACGGGGACUGGGACACGGCCCAGACUCCUACGGGAGGCAGCAGUGGGGAAUAUUGGACAAUGGGGGGAACCCUGAUCCAGCCAUGCCGCGUGUGUGAAGAAGGCCUUAUGGUUGUAAAGCACUUUAAGCGAGGAGGAGGCUACUUUAGUUAAUACCUAGAGAUAGUGGACGUUACUCGCAGAAUAAGCACCGGCUAACUCUGUGCCAGCAGCCGCAGUAA
rnacentral:rRNA from 1 species